rnacentral:rRNA from 1 species
CCUACGGGUGGCAGCAGUGAGGAAUAUUGGUCAAUGGACGAAAGUCUGAACCAGCCAUGCCGCGUGCAGGAAGACUGCUCUAUGAGUUGUAAACUUCUUUUGUAUGAGGGUAAACUCAUCUACGUGUGUCUGUUUGUAAGUAUCGUAUGAAUAAGGAUCGGCUAACUCCGUGCCAGCAGCCGCGGUAAUACGGAGGAUUCAAGCGUUAUCCGGAUUUAUUGGGUUUAAAGGGUGCGUAGGCGGUCUGAUAAGUUAGUUGUGAAAUCCUGAGGCUCAACUGCGGAAUUGCCUCUGAUACUGGUCGGCUAGAGAAUAGUUGAGGUAGGCGGAAUGUGUGGUGUAGCGGUGAAAUGCUUAGAGAUCAUGCAGAACACCGAUUGCGAAGGCAGCCUACCAAGCUGCUACUGACGUUGAGGCUCGAAAGUGUGGGUAGCAAACAGGAUUAGAUACCCGAGUAGUC